rnacentral:rRNA from 1 species
AUUGAACGCUGGCGGCGGGCCUAACACAUGCAAGUCGAGCGGCAGCGGGACCUUCGGGUUGCCGGCGAGCGGCGGACGGGUGAGUAAUGCCUAGGAAUCUGCCUGUUAGUGGGGGAUAACGCGGGGAAACUCGCGCUAAUACCGCAUACGUCCUACGGGAGAAAGCGGGGGCUCUUCGGACCUCGCGCUAACAGAUGAGCCUGGGUCGGAUUAGCUAGUUGGUGGGGUAAUGGCCCACCAAGGCGACGAUCCGUAACUGGUCUGAGAGGAUGAUCAGUCACACUGGAACUGAGACACGGUCCAGACUCCUACGGGAGGCAGCAGUGGGGAAUAUUGGACAAUGGGCGAAAGCCUGAUCCAGCCAUGCCGCGUGUGUGAAGAAGGUCUUCGGAUUGUAAAGCACUUUAAGUCGGGAGGAAGGGCUGUAGGCUAAUACCUUGCAGUUUUGACGUUAUCGACAGAAUAAGCACCGGCUAACUUCGUGCCAGCCGCCGCUGUAA